GGAGGCGUGGCAGAGCGGUUGAAUGCACCGGUCUUGAAAACCGGCGUACGUGAAAGCGUACCGUGGGUUCGAAUCCCACCGCCUCCGCCA
rnacentral:tRNA from 1 species